UACGUAGGGUCCGAGCGUUGUUCGGAUUCAUUGGGCGUAAAGGGUGUGUAGGUGGCGCGCUAAGUCGGGUGUGAAAUUUCGGAGCUUAACUCCGAAACUGCAUUCGAUACUGGCGUGCUUGAGGACUGGAGAGGAGACUGGAAUUCAUGGUGUAGCAGUGAAAUGCGUAGAGAUCAUGAGGAAGACCAGUGGCGAAGGCGGGUCUCUGGACAGUUCCUGACACUGAGACACGAAGGCCAGGGGAGCAAACGGG
rnacentral:rRNA from 1 species